rnacentral:lncRNA from 1 species
CCGAGUCUCAGACACCCCGCCCUGCAUCUCAGGCUGCAGCCAGGAGAGGUUCAGGCACCUCCCACAGUCGAGGCCUCUGAGGCCCCCAGGUGUGUCUUCUCUGACCAGUUGUGUCCCAAAUUCCCCAGGAGUAUCUAUUCUGACUUGGAACAUCUUACUAGUUCACCAGGUGUGACAACCCUGACCUGGCAGACUUCUUUGUCUCCGAGAUACGUCUACCAUGAAUUUGAAUGCCUCUAUAAUUCUCCACGUGUCCACACUGACAUGGGAUGUCUCCCUAAUUACCCAGGUUUGUCUACAGUGACCUGGGAGGUCUUAAUAUUUCCCCAAAUGUGUCUACAGGGAUGUUGGAUGUCUACCACUUCUCCAGGUGUCUCCACUAUAAACUAGGAUAUCAUCCUAAUUCAAGAGGUGUGUCUGCCUGACCUGGAAUGACUCUAUUGUUAUGUAGGUGUGUGUGCUUUGACUCAGAAUGUCUCCGUAAUUACAGAGAAUUUUCUCCUCUCCCCGGGAUAUCCCAAUGUUCACCAGGGCUGUCUACUUCUUCGUAGUAUGUCACCCUAAUAACCCAAGUGUGUCCACAUUGACCUGUGAUGUCUCUCUAAUUGCCCAGGUUAGUCUGCUCUGUUUUCCAAUAUCUCCCUAAUU